rnacentral:pre_miRNA from 1 species
ACAGCAACAUUAGGACCGUCGGUCUACCGAGGAAAUACCACCCGCUCGGUGGAAGAUCUUCCCUUCGUCGUUAAGC